rnacentral:rRNA from 1 species
GCCAGCAGCCAUAUCACCCUGCAGCUCUCAACUGUCUCCCACUGAAGCUCAGCGGGGUUGAGCCUGGUCAGUACCUGGAUGAGAGACCUCCUGGGAAUCUAUGGUUGCUGCUGGAA